rnacentral:rRNA from 1 species
CAGCAGCCGCGGUAACACGAAGGGUGCAAGCGUUACUCGGAAUUACUGGGCGUAAAGCGUGCGUAGGUGGUGGUUUAAGUCCGUUGUGAAAGCCCUGGGCUCAACCUGGGAAUUGCAGUGGAUACUGGGUCACUAGAGUGUGGUAGAGGAUAGUGGAAUUUCCGGUGUAGCAGUGAAAUGCGUAGAGAUCGGAAGGAACAUCUGUGGCGAAGGCGACUAUCUGGGCCAACACUGACACUGAGGCACGAAAGCGUGGGGAGCAAACAGGAUUAGAUACCCGCGUAGUCCCUGUCUCUUAUAC